rnacentral:rRNA from 1 species
GAUGAACGCUGGCGGCGUGCCUAAUACAUGCAAGUCGAGCGAACGGACGAGAAGCUUGCUUCUCUGAUGUUAGCGGCGGACGGGUGAGUAACACGUGGAUAACCUACCUAUCAGACUGGGAUAACUUCGGGAAACCGGCGCUAAUACCGGAUAAUCUUUUGAACCGCAUGGUUCAAAAGUGAAAGACGGUCUUGCUGUCUCUUAUAGAUGGAUCCGCGCUGCAUUAGCUAGUUGGUAAGGUAACGGCUUACCAAGGCAACGAUGCAUAGCCGACCUGUGAGAGUGAUCGGCCGCACGGGAGCUGGAACGCGGACCGUGCUCCUACGGGAGGCAGCAGUAGGGAAUCGGCCGCAGUGGGCGAAAGCCUGACGGAGCAACGCCGCGUGAGUGGUGAAAGUCUUCGGAGCGUAAAACUCUGUUAUGAGGGAAGAACAUAUUUGGAAGUAACUGUGCACAGCGUGACGGUACCGAAUCAGAAAGCCACGGCUAACUACGUG